rnacentral:rRNA from 1 species
UACGUAGGCAGCGAGCGUUGUUCGGAGUUACUGGGCGUAAAGCGUGCGUAGGCGGUGAGUUAAGUCUGUUGUGAAAUCCCCGGGCUCAACCUGGGAAUGGCAAUGGAUACUGGCUCGCUAGAGUGUGAUAGAGGAUGGUGGAAUUCCCGGUGUAGCGGUGAAAUGCGUAGAGAUCGGGAGGAACAUCAGUGGCGAAGGCGGCCAUCUGGAUCAACACUGACGCUGAGGCACGAAAGCGUGGGGAGCAAACAGG